AGUGAACGCUAGCGGUAGGCCUAACACAUGCAAGUCGAACGGCAGCACAGUAAGAGCUUGCUCUUACGGGUGGCGAGUGGCGGACGGGUGAGGAAUACAUCGGAAUCUACUUUUUCGUGGGGGAUAACGUAGGGAAACUUACGCUAAUACCGCAUACGACCUACGGGUGAAAGCAGGGGAACUUCGGACCUUGCGCGAUUGAAUGAGCCGAUGUCGGAUUAGCUAGUUGGCGGGGUAAAGGCCCACCAAGUCGACGAUCCGUAGCUGGUCUGAGAGGAUGAUCAGCCACACUGGAACUGAGACACGGUCCAGACUCCUACGGGAGGCAGCAGUGGGGAAUAUUGGACAAUGGGCGCAAGCCUGAUCCAGCCAUACCGCGUGGGUGAAGAAGGCCUUCGGGUUGUAAAGCCCUUUUGUUGGGAAAGAAAAGCAGCAGGUUAAUACCCCGCUGUUCUGACGGUACCCAAAGAAUAAGCACCGGCUAACUUCGUG
rnacentral:rRNA from 1 species